UAAUAAUGCUGCUAUAAACACUGGGGUGUAUGUGCCUCUUCAAAUCUCUAUUUUUGAAUUCUUUGGGUAAAUACCUAGUAGUGCAAUUGCUGGAUCAUUGGGUAAUUCUAUUUUUAACUUUUUGAGGAAACUCCAUACUGUUUUCCAGAGUGGCUGCACCAGUUUGCAUUCCCACCAACAGUGCAAGAGGGUUCCCAUUUCUCCGCAUCCUCGCCAACACCUGUUGUUUCCUGUGUUGUUAAUUUUAGUCAUCCUGACAGAUAUGAGGGAUAAAUGAAGUGUUCCACCAGCAAUGAUUCAUACUUCCAAAACUGUUUUUGAAGAUCCACGGGGCCAACUCAUAUUUACCUCUGAGAAGUUCAGCCUGGGUGGGCAAGGAUGCCAGAGAGCUGCUGUGGACGAGAGAACAAUCAGUGAAGCAAUUCAAGCCCCUCCUCCUUGUAGUUUUCCCUGUGCCACGGACCCGUGGAAGAGAUGGGGCCAGUUUUCCUGUAGAAAGUCCCUUUCUCUGGAUUGAUCUGCUUGCUCCCCUGAGGGGAUGAGACUUUGUCAGCCUGUGGCUAUCACCCCACGGCUUUGGCAUUCAUUGAUGAUUGUAGCCUGGAUCAGUUAUUUCAAUUGUGAUUUUAAAGCUGUCCCUACUUCCACAUUUAUAAAUGGAAUGCUUCUGCAAAGAAGAGCUUUCCCACAUCAGCUGGAGUUCCUUGGUAACCCGGAAUUCCAGUUUGUACCGGUAAGUCGGGAAUCACGCUUAAUUAUGCCCCGUAAUAAUUUUGAAAAUAAGGAGUUGAUACUCAAUAGUGGCAAAUUAGAUUUAUUUUUGCUUUCCCUUAUUUUGAUUAUCCUUAUAAACUUGUGAAUUUUUAUUUGAUGGGUUUUAAUCAAUUGUAAUAAUUCUUUUUAAUGCUCAAAUAUUCCCAUCUUUGGAAAAUGGGGCCUUUUUUUAGGGGGCUCCUUGUGACCUUUGACAUGUUAUGGAGCUAUUUUUAAACAUUUAAUUAAAUUUAAUUUUAAAUACCAGUAUAGUUAACAUAUCGUGUCAUAUUAGUUUCAGGUGUACAAUACAUUGAUUUAACAGUUCCAUACAUCACCCGAUGGCUCAUCAUGACAAGUGCACUCCUGAAUCCCCAUCCCUCAUUUAACCCAUCCCCCCAUUCACCUCCCCUCUGGUAGCUGCCGGUUUGUUUUCUGCAAUUAAGAGUCUGGGGGUGCCCAGGUGGGUCAGUCAAUUAAGCAUCCGACUUCGGCUCAGGUCAUGAUCUCACCACUCGUGAGUUCGAGCCCCACGUCGGGCUCUGUGCUGACAGCUCAGAGCCUGGAACCUUUUUCCUCUGUGUAUGUCUCUCUCUCUGCCCCUACCCUGGUCACACUCUGUCUCUCUAUC